GGGGAUUUAGCUCAGUGGUAGAGCGCUUGCCUAGCACUGGCAAGCACAAGGCCCUGGGUUUAGUCCCCA
rnacentral:tRNA from 1 species